UCGUAGUCCGGAUCGGAGUCUGCAACUCGACUCCGUGAAGUCGGAAUCGCUAGUAAUCGCGAAUCAGAAUGUCGCGGUGAAUACGUUCCCGGGCCUUGUACACACCGCCCGUCACACCAUGGGAGUGGGUUGCACCAGAAGUAGAUAGCUUAACCUUCGGGAGGGCGUUUACCACGGUGUGAUUCAUGACUGGGGUGAAGUCGUAACAAGGUAACCCUAGGGGAACCUGGGGUUGGAUCACCUCCUUACCUUAA
rnacentral:rRNA from 2 species